GACAGUGUGAUGUAGUGGUUUGGCUGUUGGACUAGGAUUCUGGAGACCAGGGUUUGAAUCCCUGCUUGGCCA